rnacentral:tRNA from 1 species
GUGUUUGUCGUCUAGUGGUAGGACCUCAACCUGUGGAGUUGAUUACCUGAGUUCAAUUCUCAGCAAACACCCA